rnacentral:rRNA from 1 species
CCCUUAGAUGUUCUGGGCUGCACGCGCGCUACACUGAUGCGUUCAACGAGUUUACGGCCUUGCCCGAUAGGGUUGGGUAAUCUUCUUAAAACGCAUCGUGAUGGGGAUAGAUUAUUGCAAUUAUUAAUCUUCAACGAGGAAUGCCUAGUAGGCGCAAGUCAUCAGCUUGCGUCGAUUACGUCCCUGCCCUUUGUACACACCGCCCGUCGCUCCUACCGAUUGGGUGUGCUGGUGAAAUGUUCGGAUCGGCCGUUUGUCGCGGUUUCCGCGGCUCGUGGCUGAGAAGUUCAUUAAACCCUCCCACCUAGAGGAAGGAGAAGUCGUAACA